CUCCUCUCAGGACCACUUCUUUACUUUUUGAACUCAAAUCAAAUAAGACUACCCGGUGAACUUAAGCAUAUCAAAAACCGGAAGAAA
rnacentral:rRNA from 1 species